rnacentral:rRNA from 1 species
UACGAGGGGGGCGAGCGUUGUUCGGAAUUAUUGGGCGUAAAGGGCGCGUAGGCGGUGCGGUAAGUCACCUGUGAAACCUCUAGGCUUAACCUAGAGCCUGCAGGCGAAACUGCCGUGCUGGAGUGUGGGAGAGGUGCGUGGAAUUCCCGGUGUAGCGGUGAAAUGCGUAGAUGAUCGGGAGGAACACCUGUGGCGAAAGCGGCGCACUGGACCACAACUGACGCUGAGGCGCGAAAGCUAGGGGAGCAAACAGG